GACGAACGCUGGCGGCGUGCUUAACACAUGCAAGUCGAACGGAAAGGCCCUGCUUUUGUGGGGUGCUCGAGUGGCGAAAGGGUGAAUAAGACGUGAGUAACCUGCCCUUGACUUUGGGAUCACUUCAGGAAACUGGGGAUAAUACCGGAUAGGAGCUCCAGCUGCAUGGUGGGGGUUGGAAAGUUUCGGAGGUUGGGGAUGGACUCGCGGCUUAUCAGCUUGUUGUUGGGGUAGUGGCUUACCAAGGCUUUGACGGGUAGCCGGCCUGAGAGGGUGACCGGCCACAUUGGGACUGAGAUACGGCCCAGACGCCGACGGGAGGCAGCAGUGGGGAAUAGUGCACAAUGGGCGGAAGUCUGAUGCAGCAACGCCGCGUGCGGGAUGACGGCCUUCUGGUGGUAAACCGCUUUCGCCUUUGACGAAGCGUUAGUGACGGUAAUGGGUAAAGAAGCACCGGCUAACUACGUG
rnacentral:rRNA from 1 species